GGUCUGUGAUGUGAUGUAAAAGGUCUGAACUCAGAGCUCCGCCCUCAGCUGCCGUCCAGCUCCCAGCAGCCCCUGCCCUCUGCUCCCAGCGUGCACCAGUGAAGCAGCGCUGGCCCCAGGAGGCUGCUGACAGACAGGAUGUGACGUCACUUUGUGAGCCUGCACUGAGGUCCUGCAGGCGCGCAGUGAUGACAUCAUCCAACAGAACCAGUCACCAUGGAGUGUCAGGCUGAGGGGGCGGAGCCUGAGCGGUGAUCUCACUCUUCUACUGAGACC
ensembl:scaRNA small Cajal body-specific RNA 6